UUUGCUGUAAAAACUCACACAUUGCUCACGGGGAGCCUCUGGUGGUCACAAUGUAAAAUGCAUAUUUAAAAUAUUACACUUACUUUAUUUGUUUGUGUCCGUCUUUAGUUAUUGACUCAAAUGGGGAGAAUAAAACAUGUAGUUUAUCACCAGACUUUGUCUUAGAACUACUUCAGAAGCUGCUUUCAUCUUCUGAUUAGUUGUGUUUACGACAGUUAAAAACCAUGGCAACCGGCGCAGAGUCUGCGCAUGCUCAGAUGGUUCUAGCUGUGGUAGACACGUGUGUUGUCUGUCGUCUCCAUCCGUGCCUGCUUCAUACAGUCUACUUAAAUAUUCCCUGCUAGGUCCGUCGCAGUAGUCUGUACCUUACAGACGAUGCAAACAGAGCCAUUAUGCCUGAGCCAGCAGGACAUUUUUCCACCUUGUAUAUGUCCAACCGCGGCCAUUACGAGGUCCACGGAGAGCCAGAGCAAAGUCAGUCACCUGCAGGCAGAGCACCAGCACCUUCACCCACUCCUCCGCCCACUUUCCUCUUCAGCUUCAUGCACCAAGCCUCAUCUUCUUCUACUGGGAGUGCAGCUUCACAUGGAGCUCCACGAGCUCGUGGAAGGUUUCCUCAAAAAUCAUUUCACAGAAGGUCCCAAGCAGAAGAGGUCAUUUCUAAUAUGGACCACCUGAAAAAAGCUGCAGAGAGCCUCCCAGACAUCACUUCAUCUGUAAACCAGCUGUUUGAGCUUGCAAAGGCCAAAAGCGCAGUGGCAAAAUCUCUAACUAUGACUCCUAUAAAGGACGCC
rnacentral:lncRNA from 1 species